CCGCGGUCAAUUAAGUCAACCAAAUUUCUUUCACAGGGACCUGUGUGCAAUGGCUGCACACAGUAUUCUCCUUGGGAGUGCAUGCGAUCUGUUGCUUGCUGGAAUGUUCUAAGAGAAACAGAGUUAUCU